AUGUAUUUAAUUUUUCACAAGGUCUCUUUUCACACGGCUUACUUGAGUGAUAAAAUAUUGUUUAGUGCGAUGGAUUCGGAAACUACAGAAAAUCUACCCAAUCGAUGGGCACAGGAAUUUCGGGAACGUCUCGAUUAUCUCAGUCGUUCAAGAAUGGAAGAAGCACGUGCGGCAAGCCCAGAAGAACAAUUUGUACAUCUUUUAUCCGUUAUAUCAGAGAUGCAGGCGCUGUUUAUCCAAGUAGCAAUGCAAAUUCAACAAUACACUUGGAGGAAAAUAUUGGAAAGUAGAAGAUUGACCAUGCUCAGAAUCCAAGAAAGGAGGAUUGCGGCUUUUCACGCGUUUAAUCAGAUAAUGUUGAAUCUCAGCUUGAAUUUUCCACCCCCUGUACCACCUAGUCAUAGUCUUGUAGAAGCCUCUAGUCACAACAAACAAACAAAGACAAGGAGUGGAAGAAGAAGACCUUUAAAACGUCUUGUUGCCAGGCGGCGGAUUCUCUUCCCUGAUGAUGAUAAUGUGACUCGGGAAACUUCAUCCCACUCAUCUACCAAGACGUAAUGGUUAGACCUAUGCCCUUUCAACUCAGCAAUUUUAAAAGUGAAAAGUGCCUCUUUCACUGCGAUGUGUGAGAAAAAUGGUGCCACAUCCGAGAAUUCAAGUCCUUUUGCUCGAAGUGGCAUUUUUGUGAGAAUAUUCAUUGAAAAGUUACCAAACUGUAGAGGUUUAGAGUCAAAGCCAAAGAGUUUUACACACUUCUAGAGUGACAGAAGAUCUGCCAUCUCGAUUCUUGUAUUUAUUUUUUAUGCUAAACUGAGGACCGUUGAUCUUCUGUCGCAUUCUGAGAGUGCGUGAAGUCGUUCGGCAUAAACUUCAUCCAAAACACUAUCUGAAUAAUCACACCACAUAGUUUAAGUUGUCCUUGAUGAGGAAAAUGAUUUCUCUUUUACUUUUAGGUAUGUGAAGUCCGUUCAAAAUUAGUGGAAGGACACCUAAUUUUAAUUUACAACAGUCAAGGGGCUGUAAAGGAAUUUUCAUUAAUUGCUUUAUAAUUCUGCAGAAUUUAGUUAAAAUAUUGAAAUAUUCUGCUCAUUUUUCUACUUAGGCUUGUCUUUUUAGAUUUCCUUGGUUUAGUAAAAACCAACAACAUUUUUUUCAAAUUCCAAUUUCGAUGUUUCUGCAAUGAAAGCAAUUUUUUUUUUACUGACAUAGAAUUUUCAAGAUCAAGAUCCCAUACAGUCCACUGGUGUCAAACUUCUAACGGAAAGAGCUGUUAGAUUUAAGGCAAAGUGACCAUUAAUCAAGAUGAAAACUUGUUAUUAUCAGGCGGAAAAUCUGUUCGGGGUCCAUAAUAUUUAUUCUUGAUUUUGAUGGUUUUAUGCUUUUAAAAUGCUCAUUAACAUAGGGUAUAAAUGAAUAAUAUUUCAUGCAUCUGAAGCAAAUCGUUUUUGUUAUGGGUCUUUGAUACUGAGUGUAGAAUUUGUUUUCAAUUUCAAGUUUUUAUUUUCGAAGUACAGUGCUUUGUGUAAUAAUUAGUAGUGAACUUAAUUUUUUGUAGCUCUGAAAUGCCUUCAUCUCCAAGUAUUUAGAGUGCUUAUCAUGAAAAUCUUGUGAAUAAAUUCUUUAUGUCUUAAUUAGUCAAAUGAUGGCGGUUUUUGCUUUUUCAUUUUAAUUGAAUUCCUGAUUAAUAUUUAUUGAAUGAUGAGUUGGGUCAUGAUCAAAGUUCCACUGAUGAUGGGCCAACUUUUCAAAGACAGUAUUCCAGGUAGGGGUGUUCUAGCGGUUUCCGGUAAGCUAUUAGAACAGUUCCAUCAAGAUAUAUGAUAACAAGAAGACCUUCAUAGAUCACAGAUGUCAAGUAGAAUGUUCAAAGCUGAAGAAAAUGUGUUUGUCAGUUUAACAGGCCAAGCAUCCCAUUGAACAGAGACUUAUAAGGCAACAAUGCUUGGACUCAGCAACUCGUUCUGCACAAUUGGACGGAGUUGAACAGAAAGGAACCAAGCCACAUCGGGAUCGAACCGAGAAAAAGAGGUUUAAAGUUUGGCUCCUGCAUAAGACUCAAUGUAAAAGAUAAAUUUCAAGUUCAAUUUCUGCAAAAUUUGCUCCAACAAAAACUUUGAAUUUUUGCUGAUAGAUAGUAGAGCAGUGGUUGAGUUCAAAACCACUCAUAACUCAAUUUUUUCCAAAAUGUGGGUUGGUUCCUUUCUGCUGAACUCAGUCCAAUUACUAUUACUCACUCCCAGUAAAAGUGAUCUUAUAGAGGUGAAUCAGAAUUUCAAAACAAUCAGUACUGAUAGCUUAUCGACAAGGAUUGAUUAGAACGCCCCUAGUUGAAGACAGUAUUUUAGAAACUUUAUGGCUAAGAGAAAAUUUCUGCCACUUAAAGUUCAAAUAAAAUUCUCAAUGCCUCCUCUUUCAAAUUACUCUUGAGACACUAGAGCCGCUUCCCUACUCAACUCUUUGAUGUGAAAGAGGACACAGUAUAACCAGGCUAAUUUCUGGAGUGAAACAGGAAAUCAGUCAUUUUGGUCAAUGCAUUUUCUUUUAAGUAGAAUGUGGACAAAUCUAUUGGAUUUAUAGAAGUCAGUUAAUACAUUUGUGAAUUACAAUUUCAAUAGAGAUGGCUUAUUAAAUGAACUACUUAUUGCCCCCCCCCCCCCCAAAAAAAAGGCUUGCAUGCAAAAAAAUUUAUUGCAGAUCAGUGGCGUGGCGUGCUUUACGAUAUAUCGAUUGAUCAGUCUAAACCUAUGGAAAAGGAUCGAUAAACAAGGUGUGCACAGUGAACACUUUAAUAAUCGAUUCUUUACCAUGGAUUUAAUGCCAUAACAAUCGAUUUAUCGCAUUUCACGCCACGCCACUGUUGCAGAUUGACUUAUUUUGCAGCAGUGUGUCCGCAUUGACUGAUUUAGUGGCUAUACCAUUCUUGCGAUAUUCAAAAUAUCGGCAGUUCAAAAGUAAAACCAUAUGACAAGCUCUGUACCUCAUGAUCAAGUAAUGACUCACUUAUACUUGAGACAUGAUAAAUUUAGAUUUCAACUUUUAGACACGUUUUACCACAACGGCACAAGUCAAGAGACAAGGUUGUGUUUAUUUACGAUGGAAACCUUUGAUCAGUAAUAAUAUAUAACUAUGACAUAGCCAUUAUAUCAGUCUAAAAUAGAAUAGCGGCACAAUUAACAGGAAUGUGUUGGAGAGGAAUGACAUACACCAUAAUGAGAACAAUUCAAUUGAUUUCUUUAGAUUUCUUUCAUAAAAAAGAAUACACUGUAAUUUUAUCUAGUAAAUACAAUAUUUAUACAAUACUAAGCAAAAGUAUUCAUUGAUAGACCUAGGAGUAAGAAUAAUCAUAAGAAAAAUAAUCACAAAAAUGCUUUUUUCUCUUAAAUCUUUAAAACGUAAAAAUAUUUGAUAUUCUUCAAUUCAAGGUUGUCCUUAAACUCAUUUUCUUGCUUAAGCACAAAUAAAGAAAAAAGAAAAAAACAAAUUCUCAACUUUUGACAAAUCGUAGAUGAUAGUAUACUUUGCAGUUAUCAUCUUUCUUCUUUGAACAAAUAUUAACACUGUACAUAUCGCUCUUUGAACCGUAACUCUAUACAAUACAAGUCGGCAAAAGGCUCUUUGGAAAGAUUUGUAUAAUAUUUACAUUAACAAUUAAAAGAGGCUUUCCACAGACGGUAUUGGUUAAAAAUUAAGAAAAUAAAAUUUACAAAAGUGAUACAUUGUGUUCAAAAUGUAUCUAUGUCCAAACGUACUUAAUCAAAAUAUACAGACAUUGCUCAUCUCAGAUAAAUCUUCUCUCUUGAGAGGGCAAUUCAUUUGAUAAAAGUCAAAUAAUAAAGAUUCCAAGUAUUUAUAGAUCUAUAUAUACUUCGAUACAUAUAUAUACGAAUGUACAAAUAUAAAAGCGUGAGAUGAGGAAAAUGAUAAUAGAAAAUAAUCAAAUAAAUAAAGAAAAAAAUGAAAGAACAAAACAAGAAAUUACCACAGAAAGCACAUCUCCACAAAGGUUGCAAUAUGUAAAAAUUAAAGAAUUUGUUAAGUGUUCAAAAUAUACAGUACAGAUAUUUUUAAGAAAAGGUGAAAAAUUUUAGUUUCAUGGACUUGUAUUUAACACUACACCCGUAAUAAAAGAAAGAAAAAUUAUGAAAAAC
rnacentral:lncRNA from 1 species